UGGGGAAUAUUGGACAAUGGGCGCAAGCCUGAUCCAGCCAUGCCGCGUGGAUGAUGAAGGCCCUAGGGUUGUAAAGUCCUUUUAACGGGGAAGAUAAUGACGGUACCCGUAGAAUAAGCCCCGGCUAACUUCGUGCCAGCAGCCGCGGUAAUACGAAGGGGGCUAGCGUUGCUCGGAAUUACUGGGCGUAAAGCGCACGUAGGCGGAUUGUUAAGUCGGGGGUGAAAUCCUGGAGCUCAACUCCAGAACUGCCUUCGAAACUGGCAAUCUUGAGUCCGGGAGAGGUGAGUGGAACUGCGAGUGUAGAGGUGAAAUUCGUAGAUAUUCGCAAGAACACCAGUGGCGAAGGCGGCUCACUGGCCCGGUACUGACGCUGAGGUGCGAAAGCGUGGGGAGCAAACA
rnacentral:rRNA from 1 species